rnacentral:lncRNA from 1 species
CCUACGUCAUUUCAUCCUACCAAAAUUUUCAAACUAAUCAUUUUUAACUUUUCCUUCUCUCUAAAUCUCUUCAUUCCCUCUCUAUAUUUCUAUUCUCUUCUCUCUCUACUGGGCCACCACUAAAGCACUAUUGGCAUUAAGCUUACGACACUUUCGAUAGGUCAACAUCUCUGAUUUAAAGUCACCGAAGGGAAAAAAGAGUUGACACGUAGCACCACACGGGGUCGUGAGAAGCGACACUGUCGUUCGUAGAUCUACUUCAAUUUUCUACCAUUGAGCCUUUGACCAUGGCAUUGACGUCGAAGAUGGGAAAAUGCAAGGCCAAGCAAAAACAAUCAAUGAGGAGGAAGAAGAAGAAGACAGCUUGAGAAGCAGCCAGAGGUAGUUGAAGUAGAGCCGAUUGAAGUCGCCAAGCGUUUUGGUUUUUGGAUUUGAUGUGAGAGCGAUUGCACACAGCCAGUGACGUUCUAUUAUGUUGAUAGCGAGGUGAUGGCGUUUGUCGAUCUGAUUUGUUGGUUUUUUUGGGGUAUGAUUUUGUUGAAGGCAAUGAUGGCGGUGGUUGUGAUGGUGAAGUGGUGGUAGUUUUAUUGGUGGUUGGGCAACAGUUUUGUUGAUUUUUGGACGAUGAUAUUGUUGGUGUUUGGACAGCAAUUGGUGUGCCUACAAUCUGGUGUUUUGGCGAGCGUUGUUAGAUCCUCGUGGUGGCGGCGGCGACUAUGGUUUUGCUGGUGGUUAUAGUUGUGAGGUCGUGGUUUUGAAGUUGACAAUGGUAGUUUGUUGGAGGUGGUGGUGGUGGUGAUGUGAUGGUGAUUGUGGCUUAACGAUGGUAGUGAGAUGGAGCUGCAUUCGAUUGGUGCCAUGGUGGGAUGGAGUUGCCUAGAGUAGGUGGUGGGAUUAAAAGUGUUUGUGACCAAUUAUUUAAGAUUGUAACAAAUAAAUUGGAUAUUUUGUGACCGAAAAAUAACAUGUGUCCUAUAAAAUUAUAAUAAAUAAAUAAUAUGUGAC